UAUGCGAAAUAUUAUUUAAGUUUUCCUCUUGAGCUUUACACCUGUUGUCAUGAGCAUAUAGCGUCAUGACCUGGUGUGGUUUUGGAGAGGAAAACGAAAAUCACCACUAA
rnacentral:pre_miRNA from 1 species